GGAUGGGUGACCUUCCGGAAAGUUUUCUCGGAAAGUGUGUGAGUGAGGACAAAGCACACUGGAAAGCCUCGUGUUGAUGUGUGGGGGCAGUCAGCAGUCCCUGUAAGUUGCCGGGGCGUUACAAAUGGUAUCAGAGCCUAGCCUCUCCCAGUACGGUGUGGUUCGAGGACGAACCAGACGGAAGCUGGUGGGCAUGUGACACCCGGGCACUAACGAGGGCGGGGAGUGAUCGCUGGUGCAAGAGGCAUGGACAAGGAGCGGCUCCUGGCAGGCUUCCAGUGGAAGGGGCACGUGGACGAAUCGAACAUACACCGGAAUGAGAGGGAUCUAGAGAUUGUAUAGGUAUGGGACUAUACAGUUGAAGGAUAGCUUAAAGGAAUUGAUUUGGCUACUCAUAUCAACAAAUGCAUUUGCUUUUCGGUAGCCUAACUCAUAAGAACUCCAUGGUUAAGCGUGCUUAGCCUAGAGUAAUUAUGGGACGGGUGACCCUCCGAGAAGUUUUCUCAGAAAGUGUGUGAGUGAGGACAAAGCACACUAGAAAGCUUCGUGUUGAUGUAUGGGGGCAGUCAGCAGUCCCUGUAAUUGCUGGGGCGUUAUUGGAAGCCAACUUUUAAUGGUGCUUCUGUCUCACAAAGGCCUAUAAAGAAAAUUUGUAGCCCUAAUCAACAACCUUAUCAUCAUCUUUUAUACUCUCUCCAACCUCCUUCAUUAAGAACAUCCAAUGCUAUCAUUCCCACGAUUUUUUUUCUUGCAUAACA
rnacentral:lncRNA from 1 species